GAUGAACGCUAGCGGUGUGCUUAACGCAUGCAAGUCGAACGAGAAGCUUGACUUCGGUUGAGUGGAAAGUGGCGAACGGGUGAGUAACAUGUUGGUGACCUGCCCUUGAGAGGGGGACAACCGGUGGAAACGCCGGCUAAUACCCCAGAUGUCAACUUUUUUAGAAAGGGUUGACUAAAGUUCCGGCGCUCAAGGAGGGGCCAGCACCCCAUCAGCUAGUUGGUAAGGUAACGGCUUACCAAGGCGAAGACGGGUAGGGGACGUGAGAGCGUGAUCCCCCACACUGGUACUGACACACGGACCAGAUACCUACGGGUAGCAGCAGCGAGGAAUCUUGCGCAAUGGGCGAAAGCCUGACGCAGCAACACCGCGUGGAGGAUGAAGCAUUUCGGUGUGUAAACUCCUUUUAUGGGUGAAUAGAAAGGAAGGUAACCCAAGAAUAAGGUCCGGCUAACUACG
rnacentral:rRNA from 1 species